GAUCAUGGCUCAGGAUGAACGCUGGCGGCGUGCUUAACACAUGCAAGUCGAGCGAAGCACUUAAGUUUGAUUCUUCGGAUGAAGACUUUGUGACUGAGCGGCGGACGGGGUGAAGUAACGCGUGGGUAACCUGCCUCAUACAGGGGGAUAACAGUUAGAAAUGACUGCUAAUACCGCAUAAGACCACGGUACCGCAUGGUAACAGUGGUAAAAACUCCGGUGGUAUGAGAUGGACCCGCGU
rnacentral:rRNA from 1 species